AGCGUUGUUCGGAAUCACUGGGCGUAAAGCGCACGUAGGCGGAUUGUUAAGUCGGGGGUGAAAUCCUGAGGCUCAACCUCAGAACUGCCUUCGAUACUGGCAAUCUCGAGUCCGGAAGAGGUUGGUGGAACAGCUAGUGUAGAGGUGAAAUUCGUAGAUAUUAGCUAGAACACCAGUGGCGAAGGCGGCCAACUGGUCCGGUACUGACGCUGAGGUGCGAAAGCGUGGGGAGCAAACAGG
rnacentral:rRNA from 1 species